rnacentral:rRNA from 1 species
AGAGUUUGAUCAUGGCUCAGGACGAACGCUGGCGGCGUGCUUAACACAUGCAAGUCGAGCGGAAAGGCCCUUCGGGGUACUCGAGCGGCGAACGGGUGAGUAACACGUGAGCAACCUGCCCCUGGGCUCUGGGAUAGCUCCGGGAAACCGGGAUUAAUACCGGGUAGGACCUGCUGCUGCAGUGGCGGCGGGUGGAAAGU